AACGGUAACAGGAAUAGCUUGCUAUUUUGCUGACGAGUGGCGGACGGGUGAGUAAUGCUUGGGAAUUUGCCGAAAGGUGGGGGACAACAGUUGGAAACGACUGCUAAUACCGCAUAACGUCUACGGACCAAAGGUGGCCUCUAUUUAUAUGCUAUCGCCUUUCGAUGAGCCCAAGUGGGAUUAGCUAGUUGGUAAGGUAAUGGCUUACCAAGGCGACGAUCCCUAGCUGGUCUUAGAGGAUGACCAGCCACACUGGAACUGAGACACGGUCCAGACUCCUACGGGAGGCAGCAGUGGGGAAUAUUGCACAAUGGAGGAAACUCUGAUGCAGCCAUGCCGCGUGUGUGAAGAAGGCUUUCGGGUUGUAAAGCACUUUCAGCGAGGAGGAAAGGGUGUUACCUAAUACGUAACAUCUAUGACGUUACUCGCAGAAGAAGCACCGGCUAACUCCGUGCCAGCAGCCGCGGUAAUACGGAGGGUGCAAGCGUUAAUCGGAAUUACUGGGCGUAAAGCGCGCGUAGGCGGUUAAUCAAGUCAGAUGUGAAAGCCCAGGGCUCAACCUUGGAACUGCAUUUGAAACUGGUUGACUAGAGUUUUGUAGAGGGUGGUAGAAUUUCAGGUGUAGCGGUGAAAUGCGUAGAGAUCUGAAGGAAUACCAGUGGCGAAGGCGGCCACCUGGACAAAAACUGACGCUGAGGCGCGAAGGCGUGGGGAGCAAACGGGAUUAGAUACCCCGGUAGUCCACGCAGUAAACGAUG
rnacentral:rRNA from 1 species